rnacentral:piRNA from 1 species
UACUCAAAGUGAUGGGGUGACCGAUGGU